GAGUUUGAUCCUGGCUCAGAUUGAACGCUGGCGGCAGGCCUAACACAUGCAAGUCGAGCGGUAGCACAGGAGAGCUUGCUCUCUGGGUGACGAGCGGCGGACGGGUGAGUAAUGUCUGGGAAACUGCCUGAUGGAGGGGGAUAACUACUGGAAACGGUAGCUAAUACCGCAUAACGUCUUCGGACCAAAGUGGGGGACCUUCGGGCCUCACGCCAUCAGAUGUGCCCAGAUGGGAUUAGCUAGUAGGUGGGGUAAUGGCUCACCUAGGCAACGAUCCCUAGCUGGUCUGAGAGGAUGACCAGCCACACUGGAACUGAGACACGGUCCAGACUCCUACGGGAGGCAGCAGUGGGGAAUAUUGCACAAUGGGCGCAAGCCUGAUGCAGCCAUGCCGCGUGUGUGAAGAAGGCCUUCGGGUUGUAAAGCACUUUCAGCGAGGAGGAAGGGUUCAGUGUUAAUAGCACUGUUCAUUGACGUACUCGCAGAAUAA
rnacentral:rRNA from 1 species